AUGGAGGAUCUCCCAGAGCCACUGCUUGCAGAGAUCGUCAAGAGGAUUACCAGGACAAGUCAUCUUAAUUCUCUUUGCCUUGUGUCGAAGCAGCUCUACACUGUCGAGGCGGAGCACAGGGAUGCUAUCCUCGUUGGCUGUGGACUCGACCCUUCUACAGAAGCCUUGGUGUCGCUCUUCUCCCGGUUCCUCAAUUUGGCGAAAGUAGAGAUCAACUAUUCUGGAUGGAAGCCCAGCAACGGGGACCAGUUGAACAACCAAGGCCUCCGUGUUCUAUCUUCUCACUGCCCCUUGCUGUCCGAUCUUGCUUUAAGCUUCUGCUCAUACAUUGGUGACUCUGGUCUUGGCUAUCUAGCUGAUUGCAAAAAAUUGAGGUCGCUCAGGCUGGACUGUGCACCAGCAGUCACUUCUACUGGGAUUUUUCGUGUGGCGGUUGGUUGCAGGCACCUUUCGGUUCUCCACCUUGUUGACUGUAUGGAAGUAGACAAUGUGGAGUGGCUGGAGUACCUUGGGAGGUAUGGAUCACUAGGGGAACUUGUUGUAAAGGAUUGUGAUGAAAUCAACCAGUAUGACCUCUUAAAGUUUGGUCCAGGAUGGGCAAAUCUCCAAAAGUUUGAUUUUGGGAUCAUUGGAAAUUACUCCUAUGACCCCUCCUACGUGCUUGGCUACCCAUAUAGUUAUGAAAUCUGCUGUGAUAGCUUAAAGGAUCUUAGGUUGGCUCAUAUUAUAACCGAUCAAGAAAUUGGACUUCGUUUUCUCCUGGGGAAGUGCAAAGCAUUGGAGACGCUUUACCUGGAGUAUGUUAUUGGUCUAAAAGAGAAUGAGAUGAUUGCACUAUUUCAGAGGUGCAGCAACCUUAAUACCAUCUCACUUCGGCUCAUGCCUCUGCAUUGUGAAGAUGAUCAGUUCAGGACAGUGUUGACUGAUGUUAGCCUUAAGGCUCUAGCUCUCAGUUGCCCUAUGCUUCAGGUUGUUGAGCUCACAUUCACAUUGUGCGGACCCAAUUGGCCUACUGAGAUAGGUUUCACACAAGAGGGCAUUAUGACGCUAAUCCAAUCUUGUCCAAUUCGUGCCCUUUUGCUAAAUGGUGCCAGUAUUUUGUAUGACGAGGGGAUGAAGUGCCUCUCAUCCUCACAGUUCCUGGAGACACUUGAGCUCGUGGAUUGCUGCUCUAUAACUGAUGCUGGUAUGAAUUUCAUUAUUCAGGCUCCUUGCUUGAGGAGUCUCACACUCCGCCGAUGCAAGAAAGUGACAGACAAUGGGAUGGCUGAGCUGGCACGUAGACAGAAGUUGGAGUCACUGACCGUUAUAGGCUGCUGUAAUAUCUCUGAGGAGGGUGUGCAUGGGGCUGCCAAAACAGUCCGUUACUCUGCCGAGGUUGAAACCUGGUUCAAUUUAAAAGGAUUGAACAUGAAAAGGAACAGGAAAAGACGCCGGUCGCCCUGA
rnacentral:rRNA from 1 species